rnacentral:lncRNA from 1 species
UCCGGAUAGACUGACAUGUCCUAUGUAUGCUCAAUAGAGAGGAUGGUUGAUCUUACAAGCUACUUGUGUGAGAUACUAAUAUAAAGAUGUUGAUGCUCAUUAGAUAAUGGGUUGACUGAAUUGACCUGCUAAAAGAGAACUUCUUAUGAAACCCUUACUUAUAUGUCAAAAAAAGGUUUUUUAAGUGGAAGUUGUGCAACUGGUCCUUAG